rnacentral:siRNA from 1 species
UAUAAGGAAGGGCGCCCAGGAC